UACGAGGGGUGCAAGCGUUAUUCGGAAUAAUUGGGCGUACAGGGUGUGUAGACGGCAUAUUAAGUCAAUUGUUUAAUUCUCCGGCCUAACCGGAGGUCAGCGGUAGAAACUGAUGUGCUAGAGUAUGGAAGAGAGAAGUGGAAUUCUCGGAGUAGCGGUAAAAUGCGUAGAUCUCGAGAGGAACACCGAUGGCGAAAGCAGCUUCUUGGUCCAUUACUGACGUUGAGACACGAAAGCGUGGGGAGCAAACAGG
rnacentral:rRNA from 2 species